rnacentral:rRNA from 1 species
GACGAACGCUGGCGGCGUGCUUAACACAUGCAAGUCGAACGGAAAGGCCCUGCUUUUGUGGGGUGCUCGAGUGGCGAACGGGUGAGUAACACGUGAGUAACCUGCCCUUGACUUUGGGAUAACUUCAGGAAACUGGGGCUAAUACCGGAUAGGAGCUCCUGCUGCAUGGCGGGGGUUGGAAAGUUUCGGCGGUUGGGGAUGGACUCGCGGCUUAUCAGCUUGUUGGUGGGGUAGUGGCUUACCAAGGCUUUGACGGGUAGCCGGCCUGAGAGGGUGACCGGCCACAUUGGGACUGAGAUACGGCCCAGACUCCUACGGGAGGCAGCAGUGGGGAAUAUUGCACAAUGGGCGGAAGCCUGAUGCAGCAACGCCGCGUGCGGGAUGACGGCCCUCGGGUUGUAAACCGCUUUCGCCUGUGACGAAGCGUGAGUGACGGUAAUGGGUAAAGAAGCACCGGCUAACUACGUGCCAGCAGCCGCGGUGAUACGUAGGGUGCGAGCGUUGUCCGGAUUUAUUGGGCGUAAAGGGCUCGUAGGUGGUUGAUCGCGUCGGAAGUGUAAUCUUGGGGCUUAACCCUGAGCGUGCUUUCGAUACGGGUUGACUUGAGGAAGGUAGGGGAGAAUGGAAUUCCUGGUGGAGCGGUGGAAUGCGCAGAUAUCAGAGAGGAACACCAGUGGCGAAGGCGGUUCUCUGGGCCUUUCCUGACGCUGAGGAGCGAAAGCGUGGGGAGCGAACAGGCUUAGAUACCCUGGUAGUCCACGCUGUAAACGGUGGGUACUAGGUGUGGGGUCCAUUCCACGGGUUCCGUGCCGUAGCUAACGCUUUAAGUACCCCGCCUGGGGAGUACGGCCGCAAGGCUAAAACUCAAAGGAAUUGACGGGGCCCCGCACAAGCGGCGGAGCAUGCGGAUUAAUUCGAUGCAACGCGUAGAACCUUACCUGGGUUUGACAUGGAUCGGGAGUGCUCAGAGAUGGGUGUGCCUCUUUUGGGGUCGGUUCACAGGUGGUGCAUGGCUGUCGUCAGCUCGUGUCGUGAGAUGUUGGGUUAAGUCCCGCAACGAGCGCAACCCUUGUUCACUGUUGCCAGCACGUUAUGGUGGGGACUCAGUGGAGACCGCCGGGGUCAACUCGGAGGAAGGUGGGGAUGACGUCAAGUCAUCAUGCCCCUUAUGUCCAGGGCUUCACGCAUGCUACAAUGGCUGGUACAGAGAGUGGCGAGCCUGUGAGGGUGAGCGAAUCUCGGAAAGCCGGUCUCAGUUCGGAUUGGGGUCUGCAACUCGACCUCAUGAAGUCGGAGUCGCUAGUAAUCGCAGAUCAGCAACGCUGCGGUGAAUACGUUCCCGGG